rnacentral:rRNA from 1 species
AACCAGUACCGUGAGGGAAAGGCGAAAAGAACCCCGGCGAGGGGAGUGAAAAAGAACCUGAAACCGUGUACGUACAAGCAGUGGGAGCCCCACCACUAAGCCAGUGGUGAACUCCACAUCCGCAUCCUUUGCUGAGGAUACGGUUAACGGAGCGAAAGCGACGUUCAACCGCAAAACAAGCAGAGGGGGCUUAGUGGUGGGGUGACUGCGUACCUUUUGUAUAAUGGGUCAGCGACUUAUAUUCUGUAGCAAGGUUAACCGAAUAGGGGAGCCGGAGGGAAACCGAGUCUUAAUUGGGCGUUAAGUUGCAGGGUAUAGACCCGAAACCCGGUGAUCUAGCCAUGGG